rnacentral:rRNA from 1 species
UACGUAGGUGGCAAGCGUUGUCCGGAUUUAUUGGGCGUAAAGCGCGCGCAGGUGGUUCGUUGCGUCCGAGGUGAAAUCUCCCGGCUCAACUGGGAGGGGUCUUCGGAUACGGGCGGACUUGAGGAGAGCAGAGGUAGGCGGAAUGCUGGGUGUAGUGGUGAAAUGCGUAGAUAUCCAGCGGAACACCAGUGGCGAAGGCGGCCUACUGGGCUCCACCUGACACUGAGGCGCGAAAGCUAGGGGAGCAAACAGG